rnacentral:lncRNA from 1 species
UAGAAGCAACCAUCCCAUUUAUGGCUCCUUUUACUAAGGAUCAUAAAAAGAAAGCUCUCGCCACUGCUACUACGGUAGAAGCUUCUAGCAGAGGGGUUGGUCCUCGUACUAUACCAACCUCUAAUGCACCAUCGCCUACACAUGAGGUGUCCUCACCACUCCCACUAAAUGGGGGUGUGAACCCAACUCCGACAACACAGGAAAGG